rnacentral:rRNA from 1 species
UACGUAGGUGGCAAGCGUUGUCCGGAUUUACUGGGCGUAAAGGGCGCGUAGGCGGCCGCCUAAGUCAGACGUGAAAUCCCUCGGCUCAACCGGGGAACUGCGUCCGAUACUGGAAGGCUUGAAUCCGGGAGAGGGAUGCGGAAUUCCAGGUGUAGCGGUGAAAUGCGUAGAUAUCGAGAGGAACAUCGGUGGCGAAGGCGGCCUUCUGGACAGCGACUGACGCUGAGACGCGAAAGCGUGGGGAGCAAACAGG